UAGGGAAUCUUCCGCAAUGGGCGAAAGCCUGACGGAGCAACGCCGCGUGAGUGAUGAAGGUCUUCGGAUCGUAAAACUCUGUUAUUAGGGAAGAACAAAUGUGUAAGUAACUAUGCACGUCUUGACGGUACCUAAUCAGAAAGCCACGGCUAACUACGUGCCAGCAGCCGCGGUAAUACGUAGGUGGCAAGCGUUAUCCGGAAUUAUUGGGCGUAAAGCGCGCAUAGGCGGUUUUUUAAGUCUGAUGUGAAAGCCCACGGCUCAACCGUGGAGGGUCAUUGGAAACUGGAAAACUUGAGUGCAGAAGAGGAAAGUGGAAUUCCAUGUGUAGCAGUGAAAUGCGCAGAGAUAUGGAGGAACACCAGUGGCGAAGGCGACUUUCUGGUCUGUAACUGACGCUGAUGUGCGAAAGCGUGGGGAUCAAACAGG
rnacentral:rRNA from 1 species